CCUACGGGCGGCAGCAGUGGGGAAUAUUGCACAAUGGGGGAAACCCUGAUGCAGCGACGCCGCGUGAGUGAAGAAGUAUUUCGGUAUGUAAAGCUCUAUCAGCAGGAACGAGACAAGACGGUACCUGACUAAAAAGCCACGGCUAACUACGUGCGAGCAGCCGCUGUAAUACGUAGGGGGCACGCGUUCUCCGGAUGCACUGGAUGUACAGGGAGAGUUGAUGGCUGUGGAAUCCUGUUGGGAAAGGCGGGGGCCAACCCCCUGGACUGGUUUGGGAACUGUACGGCUGGAGUGCAGGAGAGGUAAGUGGAAUUCCUGGUGUAGCGGUGAAAUGCGUAGAUAUUAGGAGGAACACCGAUGGCGAAGGCAGCUUACUGGACUGUAACUGACGUUGAGGCUCGAAAGCGUGGGGAGCGAACAGGAUUAGAUACCCUAGUAGUC
rnacentral:rRNA from 1 species